UGCUAAUUUUGAGAGUAUAACGGGAAAUUUGAAGUGCAAUUGAAUGACAUCUGUCUAGCAAUUUAAUCUAAGAAAUAACAAUAAUGGUAACAACAUAAAUCAUUAGGAUCUCUGUGGUCAUCUUUGCACUUUUUCCUCCUAGGAUUUCCAGACUGUAUUACCAUCAUUUGAGCUCUUCUCAAAGUAUGGAAAAUUAUAUUCAAAAGCUGGGCAGAUUGUAUAAAGAAGACAAAAUAUAGAACUGAGAUUAAGGUGUGAAGUGAGUGUGAACAGAAGACCCCACUGCCUGGAGUCCUGGAUUCUUCAAUGCUGAUGAGUGACCUUGAUUCCCUUAAUCUCUGCAGUUUUUCUCUCUUGUAUGUCAGAAGAAACUGAAACCAUCUGCCUUUUAAACCUCAACAGUUCUUAAAGGAAAACACAGAUGAAGAUCCUGUAGGAAAUGUACUUACUAUGAUUCAGUAAACUAUAAAAUUUUGCAGCUCUAGUCAUGAAUUAAUUACUCUGU
rnacentral:lncRNA from 13 species